rnacentral:rRNA from 1 species
UACGGAGGAUGCAAGCGUUAUCCGGAAUGAUUGGGCGUAAAGCGUCCGCAGGUGGCAAUGUAAGUCUGCUGUCAAAGCGUCUGGCUCAACCAGAUAAAGGCAGUGGAAACUACAUAGCUAGAGUAAGGUAGGAGUAGAGGGAAUUCCUGGUGUAGCGGUGAAAUGCGUAGAGAUCAGGAAGAACACCGGUGGCGAAAGCGCUCUGCUGGACCUUAACUGACACUGAGGGACGAAAGCUAGGGGAGCGAAUGGG